rnacentral:lncRNA from 1 species
GAAGAAGAUCAUGAUCAUGAUCUGCUGUAUAAUCCUUGCCAUUAUCUUGGCUUCUACCAUUGGGGGCAUAUUUGCCUGAAAAGAUGGGAUCUCAACAGGUAUCUCCAGUCUUCCACCUCUGUGGUGCCAUCAUGUCUUCCCUUCAGAGUCUUCCUCCGCUAAGCCUCUUUUCAUUAGGAAACUUUCAACACAGGGCACCAAUCAACUGUUUAUUAAAUGUUACAGAAAGGGUGAACAAAUUAAUGAAAAUAUGGAAUUGAAAGGCAGGGAUGAAGGAACAGGGAGCACAGCAAUAUCCAGUGGGUUUAGAUGGCCCUUAAAGGGCAGACCUGCAUGCUAGAGAAGCAUAAUGGGUCCCUGUUUAGGGUACCUCUGUGUAGACUCGGAGCCUGGAGGCCAGGAUGCUGAAGAGGCAGGUAUUACAACAGGCCCAACUGCACAAGCUGUUAACUGAAAUCUGAGGCCGUCUCUCAGAUAGGUACUCCCUUUGACUCUUAACGGCUCUUCUAGGCCGCACUCUUAACCCACCAGAUGUCUGCUUCCUUCUUUAGGGUCCAAAAAUAGUUUUUACUUUAUAGAUUGUUUAAGGAUAGAUACUAUGCCUGUCUCAAACACUACCAUGUCCCUACUGCUUAGCACAUACAGUGCCUGCCACUUUCAGAUAUCUGCUGGCUUGUAGUCAAGCUUUGAUUUCAUUCAUGGAUGA